CAAAAUGUAGCUUAAUAAAAGCACCUCGCUUACACCGAGCCCAUAUCCACUACAGAUCAUUUUGU
rnacentral:tRNA from 1 species